CCUACGGUAGGCAGCAGUGGGGAAUAUUGGACAAUAGGGGGAACCCUGAUCCAGCGACGCCGCGUGCGUGAAGAAGUAUUUCGGUAUGUAAAGCUCUAUCAGCAGGGAAGAAAGAAAUGACGGUACCUGACUCAGAAGCCCAGGCUAACUACGUGCCAGCAGCCGCGGUAAUACGUAGGGGGCAAGCGUUCUCCGUAUUUACUGGGUGGAAAGGGAGCGUAGACGGCGAUACAAGUCUGAAGUGAAAGGCGGGGGCCCAAUCCCCGGACUGCUUGGGAAACUGUAUGGCUGGAGUGCAGGAGAGGUAAGUGGAAUUCCGAGUGUAGCGGUGAAAUGCGUAGAGAUCAGGAGGAACACCGGGGGCGAAGGCGGCCUGCUGGACUGCAACUGGCGUUGAGGCCCGAAAGCGUGGGGAGCAAACAGGAUUAGAUACCCCGGUAGUC
rnacentral:rRNA from 1 species